AAGCGAAUAUAUGAUCAAGUCUGCUCCUUAUUAUUUUGCAAGGCCCCGUCUUUCAAUAAAAAGUCAUUUUUUUAGGGAGGUCAUUGCAUAUGAGACCUGAAUCUUCCCUCCAAAAAUAAUUAUUAUUUUCCGUCCAAUGGGCCAACGCUUUUGGUCAUUUUUGAGUACCAAUUUUUAGUAUCACGGUUGUGGGCGUUUACUACGAUCAAUUUACGACCUAUUAGACUUUGAAUGAGAAAGACAUUAGUCUAUGGGACAAUAUGGAUGAUCUUGUUUUAUCCUGCACUAUUGAAUGGACCAGCGUUAUAAUGUCUGGUAAAAUUAAUGCAUUGAUGUAAUACAAUAGACUGGAGGCCCUACUAGAAGAGGAAAUUGAGCUACAUUACAAGAUGCAAGACUUGCCAUAAUGAUUGUGGAGGUUUUAAUUUUGCGAAAAGCCGGAAAAGAGGCCCUGUUUUUCAAUACGUCAUAUUUUUUUUUUGAGGGAGGUCAUUGCAUGUGAGACCUGAACCUUAAGGCUCCUCUGGUAUCUCAACUAUUGAUAGUUUAAAUGCAUAUAUUUCCUUAGAUUGGACGAUUACCCUUUAAAGUACAAAUUUAACAAUUUUGUCGAGCGUACAGUUUCGUAUAGCAGGAGCUCCUCCAGUUUUAAGGCUGAGGCCGAAUCGUCUUUGUUCAGAGUUUUUAUAUCAUUAAGCAUUUUUCUCAUAUAUCUCUAUUUUUCUCUGACUUUUUGAAUUAAGAUCCUGCCUUGCCUGAAAUUCAGUGUGUCUCAGAGUAUUUCAUGGAGACAAAACUCCUCUUUCCAUUCUUAGACCGUAGUCUUGGAUAUAUCUUAUCGUGUAGUUCCAGGUUGAAGGGGGCCGUUUAACUGAUGGUAAAACUGGGUAGUGAUAUGAGAUGUACGGUGGAUUCGUUUAAGAGGUAUGAAACUCGAUCUGAAGCGAAAAUAUGAUCAAGUCUGGCCUUUAUUAUAUUGCACAGCCCCGUCUUUCAAUAAAAAUUCAUUUUUUUCUA
rnacentral:lncRNA from 1 species